rnacentral:rRNA from 1 species
AACGUAGGAGACAAACGUUAUCCGGAGUUACUGGGCGUAAAGGGCGUGCAGGCGGUCGACUAAGUCUGGCGUGAAAGCUCUCGGCUAAACCGGGAGAGGUCGUUGGAUACUGGUUGACUAGAGGACGGUAGAGGCGUGUGGAAUUCCGGGUGUAGUGGUGAAAUGCGUAGAUAUUGGGAGGAACACCGGUGGCGAAGGCGGCUACCUGGACCGGUUCUGACGCUGAUGCGCGAAAGCGUGGGUAGCAAACAGG